rnacentral:misc_RNA from 1 species
GAUGCAGCAGAGGGCGAUGAUGAAUGGUGGCUACGACGGUGGGUACGCACAGAUGGGGUAUCCGAGACCGUCACCACCGCCGCAGCAGCCUAUGCGACCACAGGGUGAGCCGAUGGGGAAUUACUUCAGUGACGAGAACCCUAAUGGAUGCUCAGUAAUGUGAGUGAUGAAGUGGUAGGGAUGAUGGGUGCUUAAUGGUGUUGAGUUAUACGGUUAUUUUUAAUUUCAUUUCUAAGUUUUUGUUACUUAUUUUAAGUACGAUGAAUAUCUAGUAUAGAGUUAUAUUAGUUAUCUGGUAGCACAAAGGUGUGAGUG